AAAUUUCAUCUAACGAAAUGCUUCUACACAAGGGUUCUAUUUAUAGAACCACUUGUGUGGGGUACAAGCUAAAAAAGCUCACUUAAGUGUAUGUGACCCAUAUCUUAUGAUAUACCAAAAAUCACUUCAGCGCAUGGUAUCUUACUACAUUUCGUAUUCUACUUAAGUGCACCGUACCUUACGAUGUUAUACAAUUCACUUAAAUGCAC
rnacentral:lncRNA from 1 species